GUCGUCGUAGCUUCCAACUCUCACCCAUUCCAAAUCCUCUAACCAGCAGCGCCAGAGUCAUAACCAUAACCAUAUCCAUAGAUAUAGCUAGCCAGAGCUGCCACAGCCGCAGCCGCCCUUGUGCAUGUAUGUAUAGUGUAUAGGCGACAGUGUAGUACAUAUAUCAUAUUGCCGGCAGACGGACGGAGGAAAGCUUUUUUUUAUGCACACACAAAAGAAAGACACUCGAAUUGAACUCCUUGACGGUGUGCAUACUCAUUUGAACGGCGACAGCCGGUCGAAUUGGUUUGGAUAGGAGUUCUGUGCUGUGCUGUGCCUAGCCUAAACUUUAACUGAUAUACUCCCUAUAGUGUUUUUUUAUUCUUCAGUUCUGUUGACUUGUGUACGUUCCUAUAUACAUCCUAAUCUAUGACAAAAAAAAAAUACUAUCCCAUGUCUAUUGUACUUCAUCAGGUGCUCUGGUGAAUAUGAAACCCGGCACAUGUUGAAGUACAUUCAAUAUGCGGAUUAUUUUCCACAAUUUUUAAGUUAAUUUUAAUUUAAUUUUAAUUUAAAUUUGAUUCAACAAAUAUAAACUAACUUUUCUUAUGUGAAAUAGGUGGAUUUUCAGCAUGAAGCUCAAGCUAAAAGAUUUCGGACCAGAGAAUAGAGCUGUUGAAAUUUGUACUUAAAGUUGUUAACUAUGUAUACUUUUAUGUAAGAAUAAUAAAAUAUAUCUAAGGAUUUAUUCAUUUAAUUUUUGUGUUA